GGGACGAAGUCGUAACAAGGUAGCCGUACCGGAAGG
rnacentral:rRNA from 1 species